rnacentral:rRNA from 1 species
AGCUCCAAUAGCGUAUAUUAAAGUUGUUGCAGUUAAAAAGCUCGUAGUUGAAUUUUUGAUUAUUUCUUUUUGUUUUUACCCUUGUGGUAGAGUACUUUUAGGGAUGAUUAUUUUUUCUGGGAAGCUUGUUGCUAUUAGGUUAGUGAUUGGUAGACCAGGACUUUUACUUUGAAAAAAUUAGAGUGUUUAAAGCAGGCUUACGCUUGAAUACAUUAGCAUGGAAUAAUAGAAUAGGACUUGGUUUUAUUUUGUUGGUUUUGAAGACCGGGUAAUGAUUAAUAGGGACAGUUGGGGGCAUUAGUAUUUGGCCGUCAGAGGUGAAAUUCUUGGAUUGGCUAAAGACUAACUUCUGCGAAAGCAUUUGCCAAGGAUGUUUUCA